rnacentral:rRNA from 1 species
UUAGUAACACGUGGGUGAUCUGCCCUGCACUUCGGGAUAAGCUUGGGAAACUGGGCCUAAUACCGGAUAGGAGCCAUCUUUAGUGUGGUGGUUGGAAAGUUUUUCGGUGUAGGAUGAGCUCGCGGCCUAUCAGCUUGUUGGUGGGGUAAUGGCCUACCAAGGCGGCGACGGGUAGCCGGCCUGAGAGGGUGUACGGCCACAUUGGGACUGAGAUACGGCCCAG